UGGGGAAUAUUGGACAAUGGGCGCAAGCCUGAUCCAGCCAUGCCGCGUGGAUGAAGAAGGCCCUGGGGUUGUAAAGUCCUUUCGACGGAGACGAUAAUGACGGUAUCCGUAGAAGAAGCUCCGGCUAACUUCGUGCCAGCAGCCGCGGUAAUACGAAGGGAGCUAGCGUUGUUCGGAAUCACUGGGCGUAAAGCGCACGUAGGCGGAUAGUUAAGUCAGGGGUGAAAUCCUGGGGCUCAACCCCAGAACUGCCUUUGAUACUGGCUGUCUCGAGGUCGAGAGAGGUUGGUGGAAUUCCUAGUGUAGAGGUGAAAUUCGUAGAUAUUAGGAAGAACACCAGUGGCGAAGGCGGCCAACUGGCUCGAUACUGACGCUGAGGUGCGAAAGCGUGGGGAGCAAACAGGAUUAGAUACCCACGUAGUCCCUGAGCGGGCUGGCAAGGCGCAU
rnacentral:rRNA from 1 species